AUUGAACGCUGGCGGCAGGCCUAACACAUGCAAGUCGAGCGGAGCGGCGGCCGGGUGAGUAAUGCCUAGGAAUCUGCAUGGUCGUGGGGGAUAACGUUCGGUAACGGGCGCUAAUACCGCAUACUAUCAGAUGAGACUAGGUCGGAGUCGCUCGUUGGGGGGGUAAAGGCCUUCCCGGGCGACGAUCCGUAACUGGUCUGGGCGGAUGAUCAGUCGCACUGGAACGUGGACACGGUCAAGGCUCCUACGGGAGGGAUCAGGUGGGAAUAGUGGACAAUGGGCGAAAGCCUGAUCCAGCCAUGCCGCGUGUGUGAAGAAGGUCUUCGGAUUGUAAAGAACUUUAAGUUGGGAGGCGUUACCAACAGAAUAAGCACCGGCUAACUUCGUGCCAGCAGCCGCGGUAAUUC
rnacentral:rRNA from 1 species